rnacentral:rRNA from 1 species
UUUUUAAUUAAUAAUAGAAAAGAUUAAAAAUAAAACUAAAAGGACGCGGUAACCUUGACCGUGAUAAUGUAGCAUAAUCACUCGCCAUUUAAUUGAUGGAUAGUAUGAAUGGUUGAACGAAUAUUCCACUGUCUUAAAGAGAAUUACAAGAAAUUGAAAUAAUAGUUAAGAUGCUAUUUAAAACUGUAAGACGAAAAGACCCUAUAGAGCUUAACUAUAAUCUCUUUAUUAACCAAGAAAAAUAAUUUUCUUAUUUAAAAAGAUUGGUAGUUUAGUUGGGGCGACUGUCUUCUAAAAAGAACGAAGACAAGCAAUGUUAAUAAAAAACUUAUUGUAUAAUAAAUCUAUUUAACAAUUAUUAAAGUAGGCUAUAUUGACCCGUUUUUACUAAAAAACAAAGAAAAACGAUCAAUUGAUAAAAGCUACCUUAGGGAUAACAGGAUAAUUUCAUUUUAGAGCUCAUAUCGAAAAUGAAGUUUGUCACCUCUAUGUUGAAUUAAGAUAUCCUGGUAAUGCAGCA